CGGGGCGUAGCGCAGUUGGUAGCGCACGUGGUUUGGGACCAUGGGGUCGCAGGUUCGAAUCCUGUCGCCCCGACCA
rnacentral:tRNA from 1 species